GGAUGGCGGCUAAAGGGGCCGCGCUGCUGCUGCUGCUCGGGGCGGCAGCGGCGCCGGGCCCGGUGCGGGGCUCGCAGGGGGAUCGGGAGCCAGUGUAUCGGGACUGCCUGGCCCACUGCGAGCGGCGCAACUGCUCGGGGUCCGGCCUGCGGCACUUCCGCUCCCGGCAGCCGCUCUACAUGAGCCUGACAGGCUGGACCUGCAGAGAUGACUGUAAAUAUGAGUGCAUGUGGCUUACCGUGGGGCUUUAUGUCCAGGAAGGUUACAGAGUGCCUCAGUUCCAUGGCAAGUGGCCCUUUUCCCGCUUCCUGUUCUUCCAGGAACCUGCCUCUGCCUUUGCUUCUUUCCUUAACGGACUUGCCAACUUUGUGAUGUUGACUAGAUACAAAGCAUCCGUCCCGCCUUCAUCUCCCAUGUACCACACCUGUAUCGCCUUUGCUUGGGUUUCAUUAAAUGCCUGGUUCUGGUCUACACUCUUCCAUACAAGGGAGACUGAUGUAACCGAGAAAAUGGAUUACUUCUGCGCUUCCACCGUCAUCCUGCACUCCAUCUACCUGUGCUGUGUCAGGACCCUGGGUCUGAAACGCCCAGCCUUUGCUAAUGCCUUUGGGGGUUUUCUGAUCCUCUUCCUGGCCUGCCAUGUCUCGUACCUGACACUCGUGCGCUUUGACUAUGGCUACAACAUGGCCGCAAACGUGGCAAUCGGCCUUCUCAACCUCUUCUGGUGGCUGGGCUGGUGCGUCAGGAACCAGCAGCGCCUCCCAUACGUGCGGAAGUGCGUGGUGGUGGUGCUGCUCCUUCAGGGCUUGGCGCUGCUUGAGCUCCUCGACUUCCCGCCCCUCUUCUGGACCUUCGACGCACACGCCAUCUGGCACAUCAGCACCAUUCCUGUCAACGUCCUCUUCUACAGGAUCUGCAUUUGGACAUCACCCACCCAGAGUGUGCCUGUCCAUCCUAUCUCACCCAAAGAGAAGAUGCAUUCCAUUCCCAAAGCUCCCCCCACCAUGCCUUCCUGGUCCCCUGACCCAGCUGCUGGCACCCCAACCUCCUUGCAACUUCUGAUCUGAGUGACACAGUCAGUGCCAAAAUGGAUGGUGGAUCCAAAGUGUGGGGGUUUCGCUUCAGAGCCGCGGCUGGGGUAAUGCUGACUUCCGGCUGCUGAGGAGCAGGCCCUCAACAGCGAACACAAAAUGUUUCCUCCGUGACGACAGCCUGUACCUCUUGAAGGCGAACUCGGACAUUCUGAAAAUAGACUAAAGCUGUCGGGGAGGGGGCCCUGCCGUGCGGAGAGGAGCUGUCCCUUCCCUGAUGGAAACUGUCAUGCGAGACCUUCUGAGCGCCUUUCCCAGCAGCAUGCGGGUCUCAAGCCAGCCGCUCUCGAGAAGCGGUGAUUUUGUGCACUCUCAUCCAGUCCCUGUCCAGAAUCUGUGGCCAUGCUGAGACCCGCUCUCUGCUGCCUUUGACUCUUGGGUGCACCAGAAUCCUGGGUAAACGUCACCCUCCGCCAGAGCUUAGGUUUUAUUUUUUGCCUUCAGAAGUUUUAAUUCUAAUCCUGUGACUCGUUCCAUUAGAACAUCAACGAUCCAUCUCACCCACACGCUCCCCCCCACACACUGUAAUUAAUGCUCUUCUGUGCUACCGGGCAACAUGGUGCGUUUCCGUUUCCACUGUUAUGAAAUCUGUUUGAUCCUCAGCUUGCUGAGGGAUUUCCGGCUAAGUGGGAAAUGUUGGUGAAGCAACUGGUGACUCUGUAGACUUGGAAGAUGUCGCGAGCACGUUGUGGGGACAUCUGGUCAUAAAGCUGUGUGGCCCACAGGACCUCAGACUCUGCACUCAGCCGCUGCAGAAAUGGGUUAUUGUAAAUCUGUGUAAAUAAGACAUACGCUGUUCUGUA